ACAUCCGUCACAGAAAUGAGAGCCGAAAUUCUUCUGGAUCGAAAAUUCCCUUCAGUCUUUAAGCUUUCUCCAUUAUUUCUGAACGUUGUCUGAGGCAUCGAUUAUCUCCGUCUUCAGUUUCUAAGACGCAAUUGCAAUGCUCUGUUUCCGCUCUGUUUCGCAGCCAAAAUGCUUUGAAGUAAUUGGACUUUGCUCGAUCCUACUCCUACAGCGUCAACCACUGGCCACGACGUCUUGGAAAUUCUGGUUCUCUGUUUAAUCAAUGCUCCUGGUCAUUGCAUCUGCCAGCCUCUGAAUUUGGAAUUGAAAAACUGAGUGGCUCAUUAAACGUCAUGGAUGUCGUUUGGCUAUUGGAUAUGAGGGAAAUGGAAGAAAAUCUUGAGUAUCUAGAAGCGUUGGACCAAGCACUCAUAGUAAAUGAAAGUAACACCAAUGAUGAGAUUCAAGAAGCUCCCGAAGAAUUGAUAGAUAUAUUAGAAGACACAUACAGUGAUCCUAAGGUCGACGGCAACGUCCAACUGAAGUCAACCAAGACUUCAAUCCUCCGGCGAAGCCCCUCUCGAACAAGUACGCCUUAAAAUGCGCCGUCGUGACCUCCAUUACCUCUAUUUUACUCGGUUUUGAUAGGAGUGAUGAAAGGGGCGAUGCUAUAUGUAAAGAAGGAGCUGAAGAUGUGCAGGUUAAGGUCCAGACGGGGACUCUCUCCUUGGGUCGGUGAUUGCAGGGCGAAUCUCCAACUGGAUGAGCCGCCGCUACAUGACCUGUUGGCUCAUCAUGCUCAACGUGUGAAAAUCUCCUUGGUCUUGCUCGUCAUUGGGGUCCUCGUCAUGUUGGAAUCCACUAAUGGCUCAUCAUGCAAGGCUGCCUGGGCCAUGCGAAGCGCUUUUUCGCCGGGACCUCCGACUCCAAGGAGGAGGCCGCACUCCAGCUCGCCGACAUCCCUAAGAAUUGCAACUAGGACGUUGUCAAGAUCACCAAGCAAAGCACAAGAGAGGGCAAGUGGUAGGAUCUCCUCCCACUUGAUCCCAUAUGUCCACCACAUGUUCAACGGAGAGCAUUUGUCAGGAUUAAUCGACUUAAAGAUAUUAUUUUCGAUUAACUGUAUAUUUCAGUUUAUAUUGCUUUUGUAAGGUAUUUUUUAUUUUUCUUUAUCA